ACUCAAAGGAAUUGACGGGGGCCCGCACAAGCGGAGGAACAUGUGGUUUAAUUCGAUGAUACGCGAGGAACCUUACCCGGGCUCGAACGGCAGACGACGUAUACAGAGACGUAUAUUCUCUUCGGAGCGUCUGUCGAGGUGCUGCAUGGUUGUCGUCAGCUCGUGCCGUGAGGUGUCGGCUUAAGUGCCAUAACGAGCGCAACCCUUGUCGAUAGUUGCCAUCGGGUCGUGCCGGGGACUCUAUCGAGACUGCCUCCGUAAGGUGUGAGGAAGGGGGGGAUGACGUCAAAUCAGCACGGCCCUUACGUCCGGGGCGACACACGUGUUACAAUGGUGGUUACAGAGGGCUGCUCCCUGGUGACAGGUUGCCAAUCUCCAAAAGCCAUCUCAGUUCGGAUCGGAGUCUGCAACUCGACUCCGUGAAGUUGGAUUCGCUAGUAAUCGCACAUCAGCCACGGUGCGGUGAAUACGUUCCCGGGCCUUGUACACACCGCCCGU
rnacentral:rRNA from 1 species